GAUGAACGCUGGCGGCGUGCCUAAUACAUGCAAGUCGAGCGAACAGAUGAGGAGCUUGCUCCUCUGACGUUAGCGGCGGACGGGUGAGUAACACGUGGAUAACCUACCUAUAAGACUGGGAUAACUUCGGGAAACCGGAGCUAAUACCGGAUAAUAUAUUGAACCGCAUGGUUCAAUAGUGAAAGACGGUUUUGCUGUCACUUAUAGAUGGAUCCGCGCCGCAUUAGCUAGUUGGUAAGGUAACGGCUUACCAAGGCAACGAUGCGUAGCCGAGCUGAGAGGGUGAUCGCCCACACUGGAACUGAGACACGGUCCAGACUCCUACGGGAGGCAGCAGUAGGGAAUCUUCCGCAAUGGGCGAAAGCCUGACGGAGCAACGCCGCGUGAGAGAUGAAGGUCUUCGGAUCGUAAAACUCUGUUAUUAGGGAAGAACAUAUGUGUAAGUAACUAAGCACGUCUUGACGGUACCUAAUCAGAAAGCCACGGCUAACUACGUG
rnacentral:rRNA from 1 species